CGCAUCUGUGCAUGCAGCAUAUCAAUAAGCGGAGGAAAAGAGGGCUAUUACCUACGCUUAGGAUGUUGAAGAUGUAGCACAUCAUACACGCAUGACACACUGCAUAUCAAUAAGCGGAGGAAAAGAAACUAACAAGGAUUCCCCUAGUAACGGCGAGUGAAGCGGGAAGAGCUCAAAUUUGAAAUCUUAAAGGGUUUCCCUUUACGAAUUGUAGUUUAAAGAAGUGUUUUCUGUUGAGGUUUUGGUAAAAGUUCUUUGGAAUAGGACAUCAUAGAGGGUGAGAAUCCCGUAUUUGACCUUUACUUUCAACUUUGUGAUACACUUUCAAAGAGUCGGAUUGUUUGGGAAUGCAGUCCAAAAUGGGUGGUAAAUUUCAUCUAAAGCUAAAUAUUGGCGAGAGACCGAUAGCGAACAAGUACCGUGAGGGAAAGAUGAAAAGAACUUUGAGAAGAGAGUUAAACAGUACGUGAAAUUGUCAAAAGGGAAGCGUUUGACACCAGUGUUGUUUUUCUGAAAAUCAAUUAAAGAACUGUUUAUGCUAAGUUGUUUAGACUUUAUCAGCUAACUGUUUAGUUUUGAGCUUUUCUUUAAUGCACUUUUCAGUUAACAAGUCAACAUCAAUUUCUUUUGCUGUAAAAAAGGCUUGAGGAAGGUGGCUUGAGAUUCGUCUUAAGUGUUUAUAGCCUCUUGCCUAUGCAGUCGGAGAGAUUGAGGUCUGCAGCGCUAGAUCCUUCGGGGCUAAAUGCAUUUGUGCUAAGUUAUAGCAUUUUAUAGACAACUUGUUGACUAUGAUUUGUCUUGUAGCUUACUCGCUUAUGUUAUUUUACCUACGCUUAGGAUUUGAAGAUGUAGCACAUCAU
rnacentral:rRNA from 1 species